CGGUAAUACGGAGGGUGCAAGCGUUACUCGGAAUCACUGGGCGUAAAGCGCGCGCAGGCGGGUUGGUAAGUUGGAUGUGAAAGCCUGCGGCUCAACCGCAGAACUGCAUCCAAAACUAUCAGCCUAGAGUCUGGGAGAGGUGAGUGGAAUUAGUGGUGUAGGGGUAAAAUCCGUAGAGAUCACUAGGAAUACCGAAAGCGAAGGCGACUCACUGGAACAGUACUGACGCUGAGGCGCGAAAGCGUGGGGAGCAAACAGGAUUAGAUACCCUGGUAGUCCACGCCCUAAACGAUGAAUGUUAGUCGUUGCGGCGCAAGUCGUCGCAGUGAUGCAGCUAACGCAUUAAACAUUCCGCCUGGGGAGUACGGUCGCAAGAUUAAAACUCAAAGGAAUAGACGGGGACCCGCACAAGUGGUGGAGCAUGUGGUUUAAUUCGAAGAUACGCGAAGAACCUUACCCGGCCUUGACAUCCCGAGAAUCCUGCAGAGAUGCGGGAGUGCCUUUCGAGGAACUCGGUGACAGGUGCUGCACGGCCGUCGUCAGCUCGUGUCGUGAGAUGUUGGGUUAAGUCCCGCAACGAGCGCAACCCUCGGGGCUAGUUGCUAACGGUUCGGCCGAGCACUCUAGUCCGACUGCCUGGGCAACCAGGAGGAAGGUGAGGACGACGUCAAGUCAUCAUGGCCCUUACGGCCGGGGCGACACACGUGCUACAAUGGCCAGGACAAUGAGACGCGAUACCGCGAGGUGGAGCAAAUCUAUAAACCUGGUCUCAGUUCGGAUUGCACUCUGCAACUCGAGUGCAUGAAGCUGGAAUCACUAGUAAUCGUAGAUCAGCCAUGCUACGGUGAAUACGUUCCCGGG
rnacentral:rRNA from 1 species